rnacentral:rRNA from 1 species
GAUCCUGGCUCAGGAUGAACGCUAGCUACAGGCUUAACACAUGCAAGUCGAGGGGCAGCAUUGGAGUAGCAAUACUCAGAUGGCGACCGGCGCACGGGUGAGUAACACGUAUCCAACCUGCCGCUUACUCGGGGAUAGCCUUUCGAAAGAAAGAUUAAUACCCGAUGGUAUAAAGAGUUCGCAUGUUCUCUUUAUUAAAGAAUUUCGGUAAGCGAUGGGGAUGCGUUCCAUUAGAUAGUUGGCGGGGUAACGGCCCACCAAGUCUACGAUGGAUAGGGUUCUGAGAGGAAGGUCCCCCACAUUGGAACUGAGACACGGUCCAAACUCCUACGGGAGGCAGCAGUGAGGAAUAUUGGUCAAUGGGCGGGAGCCUGAACCAGCCAAGUCGCGUGAAAGGAAGAAGGAUCUAUGGUUCGUAAACUUCUUUUGCAGGGGAAUAAAGUGCAGGACGUGUCCUGUUUUGUAUGUACCCUGAGAAUAAGGAUCGGCUAACUCCGUGCCAGCAGCUGC